rnacentral:rRNA from 1 species
UACGUAGGCAGCGAGCGUUGUUCGGAAUUACUGGGCGUAAAGAGUGUGUAGGCGGUGCUCUAAGUUCGGUGUGAAAUCUCCCGCUUAACUGGGAGGGUGCGCCGGAAACUGGAGUGCUCGAGCGUGGGAGAGGAAAGCGGAAUUCCUGGUGUAGCGGUGAAAUGCGUAGAUAUCAGGAGGAACACCUGCGGUGUAGACGGCUUUCUGGACCAUUGCUGACGCUGGAGACACGAAAGCGUGGGUAGCAAACAGG